rnacentral:rRNA from 1 species
UACAGAGGUCUCAAGCGUUGUUCGGAUUCAUUGGGCGUAAAGGGCGCGCAGGCGGCUGCUCAAGUCAGGCGUGAAAGGCCUGGGCUCAACCCGGGAAUUGCGCUUGAGACUGGGCUGGCUCGAGUGCGGGAGAGGAUGGUGGAAUUCCCAGUGUAGAGGUGAAAUUCGUAGAUAUUGGGAAGAACACCGGUGGCGAAGGCGGCCAUCUGGACCGCAACUGACGCUGAGGCGCGAAAGCGUGGGGAGCAAACAGG